UCGAGAAUCUUCGGCAAUGGGCGAAAGCCUGACCGAGCAACGCCGCGUGCGGGAUGAAGGCCUUCGGGUUGUAAACCGCUGUCAGUGGGAAACAAAUCCAUAGGGGUACUCCCCUAUGGUCGAGUGCUCCGCAGAGGAAGCACGGGCUAAGUUCGUGCCAGCAGCCGCGGUAAGACGAACCGUGCAAACGUUAUUCGGAAUCACUGGGCUUAAAGAGUUCGUAGGCGGCCAUGCAGGUGAGAUGUGAAAUCCCUCGUCUCAACCGAGGAAUUGCGUUUCAAACCGCAUGGCUAGAAGGAGACAGAGGUAAGCGGAACUGAUGGUGGAGCGGUGAAAUGCGUUGAUAUCAUCAGGAACACCAGUGGCGAAGGCGGCUUACUGGGUCUCUCUUGACGCUGAG
rnacentral:rRNA from 1 species